GUCUGUCACCUGUUCUUAGCAAACUCUUGGAAAAAAUUGUAUUUGACCAGAUACAGUGCUACUUCUCUGGUAGGUCACUCAACAUGCACUGCACUUACACAAAUGACUGAUGAUUGGUUGAAAGAAAUUGAUCAGAAGAAUAUUGUGGGAGCAGUACUGCCAGACUUCAGUGCUGCCUUUGAUGUCAUUGAUCACAAAUUAUUAUUGAAAAAACUUGUAUGUUAUGGUUUUGCUCCAUCUGCUUUAUCAUGGAUAGAAAAUUAUCUAUCCUAUAGAACACAAAGUUUUCUUUAAUGGAAGCUUUUCUGAUACAAAACAUUUAGAGUGGAGAGAAAGA